rnacentral:lncRNA from 1 species
UAACCUUUCAAAUGAAGUGACAUGAUGAAAAAUGACAACUUUUAAAUGAAAUAGUAAGACGGAAUAGUGAUAACAUUUUCCUAUAAAUAGGAGAUAGGAGAAUGAAGGAAGAGACAUUUCGGAUGAGAGAAAAAUAGUGAAAAACAUAGAGAUGAAGGAAGAAGAGGAAGUACGAAGUGUGUAAUUUUAGAGUAUUUUGAGAUUUUAGAUAAAAACUUUCGAGAAACUCUGUUAAAUUUGUGAGAGCAGAGAAAGAGGAAGAGAAGAGGAAUAAC